UACAGAGGUCCCAACCGUUGUUCGGAAUCACUGGGCGUAAAGGGUGCGUAGGCGGGUGUUUAAGUCAGGGGUGAAAUCCUGGAGCUCAACUCCAGAACUGCCUUUGAUACUGAAGAUCUUGAGUUCGGGAGAGGUGAGUGGAACUGCGAGUGUAGAGGUGAAAUUCGUAGAUAUUCGCAAGAACACCAGUGGCGAAGGCGGCUCACUGGCCCGAUACUGACGCUGAGGCACGAAAGCGUGGGGAGCAAACAGG
rnacentral:rRNA from 1 species